UUGGGGGAGUCUGGAGUCGGGAGUGAGGAGUUGAGGAAGGAGCGCUCGAGUUUCCGAGGGACAUUGGAACGCGGAGCUGUCCGUCACGCGCUCAUCUGCAUAUUCGGGUGCCCGCCCCCUCCCCUGCUCCGCCCGCUCCGCCCGCACCCGCCGCCCGGUCGCGGCCGGAGGAGGGGCGGGCGGGGAGCAGGAGGCGGGAGGCAGGGAGGGAGGGAGCGGGAGGCGGGAGCGACGCACAGGCUUUUGUGGCGCAGUCGCCUCUCGCGCAGCCCUAGCCCGCGGCCCGCGGCCCCGCAGCCCGGCCUGGCCGAGCGGUGCGCACCCCUCCCACUCGCGCGGACUCCCGGCCCCCGCCCCCGCCCCCCCGCCCCCACCUUCCGCGGCCAGCCCCCCGGCCCCCGUCGCGCGGGCCCUCUGCCCCUGAUCCGCCCCAGUUCGGCCCGCAAGGACCAGGCAGAGGCCAUCCGCUUCCACUUGGGGGACGAAUGGCCCGUGCCCCCCUCUUCGCCGCGAGGAGGUCGGCCCAGGUGACUGCGCACGGGACACCAGUGUCCGGGCCGGGAGCCACGGCGAAGUGGAAGCGGUGUGGCACCGAGGCCCGUGUCCUCCUGGGGGGGGCGUGCGCGGCUCUCGCUUCCACCUUCCUCGGUCCGUCCAGCCCGCAGCACGGCGCAAGGCUCCCUGCGUGGCCGCGCGUUUGGUCGCCUGCCCCGCCGCCCGACAUGUCCCCGCGGGACCCGGAUCCGGGGUGCUUUCCUGGCGAACUGCCAGGAGGGCCCGGAGCACUCGGGCGAAUGAUUGUCACCGGACAGACCGCUGAAACCUCGCCGUCACUCGGAAGGGACGAGAAAGCGACAGGCUGGUGGGACGGCCGGCGCAGUUGGCAGCACAGGUGGCUCAGAUUAAAGUUGGCUUGGUCUUCUUAAAAAAAAAAAAUCAGUCGAAAGAGCAGUCUGCAAGCAUCGGGACGCGACGCGGUGCUCCGCGCGCGGCCGCCUGCAAGGGUGCCCAGGAUUCGUUGGAACUGCGUCUCCGUUCACCGCGGGGAGCGCUCGGCUGUGCCCGGGCCCCACGGCCGCCUAUCUCAGGCAGCAGGGACCUAGAUGCUUCGCUCAAGGGCGAGGAGGGUGUUCAAGGCCUCUGGAUCACCUGGGUACCGAUGGGCACUUGGCUUCUGUUGCUUUGAUUUUUGCCCUCCGAGCUGGAAGGGAAGAGAAUGCACGCAGGGCCAACCGGGUAAUUGCCCGAAAGCGCGCUCAAAAGGAGCGAUUACCCUGGGCACGGUUUCUGGUUUAUGCAGGAUCCUCCCCUAGGCCCCUUGCGGGCGGGCGUUUAAAAAGGACGCGCGGGGGCGGGGGGCACUGGUUAAGGCGGUCACAUUUCUGUGUCUUGUCCCAACAGUGGCCGAUGCGUUUGGAACAAGUCGGCGUGGACAUGCAGGUUUCCUGGAGGCCAAGCUCUGGGAAAGGGCAAAAUCGCGGGCUUGCCGUCCCAGUCCUUCCCGGGAAGCGGCGGUGGCGCGGGCCAAGGCGCCCUCCACACGCGCGGCCAGUCCUGGGGUUCCCGGCCGGCGGGCAGGCAGGCAGGCCGAGCAGUGGCGCGGCCCGAAGUCGUGCGCGCGGGCGGCGAGGGGGCGCUGUGGCUCGCGGCUGCCACCUCGUCCCCGCAGCGGCGGCCCUGGCCACCGAUGGGCGGCGGGCGCUCCGGCCCUGCCUCCCCCCUCGUGGGCUUAAAUCGGGGAAGGACAGUACCGCGGCAGCAUUUCAAUAAAACCUGAGCCGCACUCGACCCUUCUCUCACUCCGCCCGUCGCCCUGUCUCAGGCGGAGGUUGUCAGGCACCAUUCGGGAGUGUGUAAAUGGGGGGGUGUCAAUUACGAUUAGGCAGACACAUUUACAUAGACCCCCCCCCAUGAAGGAACAUCUGCAGUGUGAGUCGUUGCAGGGUAUCAAGGCACAUUUCCAGCGUGUUCCCUAAUCGAGUUUCCUAAUCCAGUUUCCUCAGGCCCCAGAACUUCUAGGCGGGACUGCGGAGCGAGAGACAGCAAGAACGCGAGGGGAAAAGCACGAGAGUUCCGGUCGGCCUUUUUCUUUGCUUCUCUCUCUCUCUCUUUUUUUUUUUUUUUUUUUUUGUCGCUAUAAAUUGUACAAAAUUAAA